GGUGAUGGGUUUGGAGCACCCGGCGCACAGGGAUCCUCGCUUGGCAUGGUAGUGCGUCUCGCAGUACGGCAGUCCCUCGUGAUCAAAGAAGGAUCCUCCCUGGAAGGGCUGUCGGCAGUCCUGUAGGUGAAAAAGUCGAAGUAGAUGUUCGUUCUAGGAAUACUCAGGGUUAAUCGUUUUUAGCCAGAACUAAAUAAUUGAUAGCUAACCAAAUCAUUGCCAUAAACAUUUUUGGGAAACGCAGUACAUAAGCACUAGAAAUGUUUACUGCGCCUCAAGAUCACAACCGCACUGUCCUGAUCUUCAGUUGUAAGUAUGAUUAUGUGCGCUUCGGAAAUAUAGGAGAGGUAUGAGGAUGAUGUAUUGUGGGCCAAAUGGCGGUGCAGCCUCCGUCUGGGGCUAAUUACGACCAUAAAUUAGUUGCCAUACAGCAUGACGGACCAGCAAACCGAUCGAGAGCCGACAACAUAAUAUUCGCUGUGCAAAAUUUUACGCCUGGCCUGAAAAACCUAAUUAGAAUUUAGUCGAAUCGAAAAAAAGUGACGAACGGAGGACUUUGGUACCCUGGGACCUGGGGCCCACUGUUCACGGCGUCGAGCUAAUUGGAAAACAAAGAUUGUACAUUUCAAAAACAAGAUUUGGGGAAUAUUUAAAUAUGAUAAAUAUAUGAAAAAAGUGCGGCCAAGACAUUUGUUUCUUGCUAUUUACUUUUUUUCGGGGGGCUUUUGGAAAAACAUAUCAACAGCAGCAGCAGGAACAGCAACAAUUGUAUUCAGACAAUAACAUUUUGCGCACGCUUUUGGCCAGCUUCCAAAAA